rnacentral:rRNA from 1 species
GACGAACGCUGGCGGCGUGCUUAACACAUGCAAGUCGAACGGAAAGGCCCUGCUUGCAGGGUACUCGAGUGGCGAACGGGUGAGUAACACGUGGGUGAUCUGCCCUGCACUUCGGGAUAAGCUUGGGAAACUGGGUCUAAUACCGGAUGGGAGCCAUCUUUAGUGUGGUGGUUGGAAAGUUUUUUCGGUGUAGGAUGAGCUCGCGGCCUAUCAGCUUGUUGGUGGGGUAAUGGCCUACCAAGGCGGCGACGGGUAGCCGGCCUGAGAGGGUGUACGGCCACAUUGGGACUGAGAUACGGCCCAGACUCCUACGGGAGGCAGCAGUGGGGAAUAUUGCACAAUGGGCGCAAGCCUGAUGCAGCGACGCCGCGUGGGGGAUGAAGGCCUUCGGGUUGUAAACUCCUUUCGCUAGGGACGAAGCUUUGUUGUGACGGUACCUAGAGAAGAAGCACCGGCUAACUACGUG